AAAGGGAACCAGCAGCAGCAGGAGCAUGAGGGACCCAUCUACAACCCAGUAACCUUCUUGGUGCAGCUGAAGCUAAAGUGAGAGCUAUCCAUCCAAUAUGGACUGGCUGAGGUUGCCUUUUUCAGCUGGCUAACAAACAUAAACACAUAAACACAUAGACAUGCACACUCACAGGCAGUGUGUGACCUCAUCUCAUCUUAUCUCAUCUGGAGCUACUACUGAAACCACCCGAGAGCUAGAGAAUCGAGGAUUUAAAAAGCGUUAUAUCAAAGGGCCAGUUCACCCAGCUGCGGAGUCACGACGCAGGUGUCAGAUCAUAAUAGAGAAUGUAGAAGUUCCAGGAAGGAACUGGAAGUGUGGAGCUGGUUGGCGAGGAGGUUGUGGUCACGACUCACGCAUGUGGGUCAUGAGCCUUCGUGUUGGAGCAAUGUCAGGGAGACGAGGAAGAAGAAGAUGAUCAGUUAGGGUUUUGGUACUCUGGCAUCUGCCACUUUCCUCUGACACUACUACAGUUGCCCUUCCUCUUUCAUGCCCCCAUGUGUGGUUUGCCUCAGUGCAGACGGUGUCGCAGAGACGGUAACUUGGUCUUGGCCUACAAGCAGCGUUUCUCACAAGCUUUGAGAAAUCUGACAGGGGUUCUUGAGUUGUGGCCGUGGCCCUUUGUUUCAGUUCUACGCACUAGAGGCCAUCAUUCGAGUUCCGUUAGACAGCUCCCUGUAAAGAGCAGUGAGAAAUGGUGGGGAGGGGUCCAUGCUUCCAUCACCGCUUUCGCCUCUUGAGUGAUAUCUUGAAUAAAGCAAUUUUGUCUGUGAUCAGCAGCAUUACGAACGUAUCAUUUCGUAUUGAUCACACAGCUUGGUCUACGCUCAACGUACAUGUAUUUUACGACAGUAUGGCUUUCGCAUUCUACAAAAACAUUUCCAGCGUUCAACAUCGAAUAUUUUGUGGGGGAAUCCAAAAACGGCUUGUCCCCUCUGGACAAUCAUAUUUCCAGAUAUUCGAAAAUCUAGGCAUUAGGGGUUGCGUUUGAAGUUGGGUGCUCUGCUGGGCUGUGACCUCUCAGGUGUUCUGACUUCUAUGAAUGCUAAGGGUUCAAGCAGUAGCACGAAGCUCAAGGACAGGUGUUCACUGAGGAAUGUUUUAGGGUUUUGUAUAAUCAUCUGUGGAGCAUGUUCCGGAAUCUUGACUAACUUUGUAAUUAAGAGUUCGUUCGUUGUCUGUCAGCCCCCCCCCCCCAGUUGUCAAAUUUCAAUACAAAAGAGUUUCGUUGCCGCAGGGUUUUUGAGAUUUCCGUGUCAGACGAGUGCACCAACCUCCUUUUUUAACUGACUGGACAGAGGCGGAUGACUUGAAAGUACGGAAUAGAAGCGGAGUUUACAGCAUUCAGCCUCACGGACAGAUUUUGGAAGGCUUGUACUCUGGGCCGCAUUAUAAAAAAAUGCCAAUUAGGGUCUGGCACAGGUUUACACAGAGACAAAAAAAUCUAGAAGAAGGUUGAGUUGACCUCCAUGUUCUUUAUGGGGGAAAUUAUAUAUAUAUAUAUAUAUAUAUAUAUAUAUGUGUGUGUGUGUGUGUAUAUAUAA